GAGUUUGAUCGUGGCUCAGAGCGAACGCUGGCGGCAGGCUUAACACAUGCAAGUCGAACGGACCCUUCGGGGUUAGUGGCGGACGGGUGAGUAACACGUGGGAACGUGCCUUUAGGUUCGGAACAACACAGGGAAACUUGUGCUAAUACCGGAUGUGCCCUUCGGGAGAAAGAUUUAUCGCCUUUAGAGCGGCCCGCGUCUGAUUAGCUAGUUGGUGGGGUAAAGGCCUACCAAGGCGACGAUCAGUAGCUGGUCUGAGAGGAUGGCCAGCCACAUUGGGACUGAGACACGGCCCAAACUCCUACGGGAGGCAGCAGUGGGGAAUCUUGCGCAAUGGGCGAAAGCCUGACGCAGCCAUGCCGCGUGGAUGAUGAAGGUCUUAGGAUUGUAAAAUCCUUUCACCGGGGACGAUAAUGACGGUACCCGGAGAAGAAGCCCCGGCUAACUUCGUGCCAGCAGCCGCAGUAAU
rnacentral:rRNA from 1 species